CACCGGGGUAGUGUGGCGGUGACCCCUGGGUGCGGGACACAACCGUGGCCCGCAGAAGCGAAAACAAUGGCAGAGCCGGAAGCGAGAACAAGGCCCACUUCCGGCCCCUCCAGGAUCCCGGAAAUCUCUGUGGCGAAGGAUAUUGAACUGGACAAAACCAUAUGACUAAACAGAGGACUGCUACACUCAUAUUCUGGAUAAAAAUUGGACACUCUGCAAAAAAAUUUUUUCCUAGUCACUGUCACACUGUACUCAGAAAACCAAUGGAUGGCCAAAUGUAAUUGUACCUUCCAAUCACAGUCUUUGGAAAACAA